GAUGAACGCUGGCGGCGUGCCUAAUACAUACAAGUCGAGCGAACUUACUAUAACCUUGCUUCUCUGAUGUUAACGGCGGACGGUUGAGUAACACGUGGAUAACCGACCUAUAAGACUGGGAUAACUGCGGGAAACCGGAGCUAAUACCUGCUAAUAUUUUGAACCUCAUUGUUCAAAAGUGAAAGACGGUCUUGCUGUCACUUAUAUAUCGAUUCGCGCUGCAUUAGCUAGUUGGUAGGGUAACGGCUUACCAAGGCAACCAUGCAUAGCCGACAUAAGAGGGUGAUGGGCAACACUGGAACUGGGCCCCGCUCCAGAUCCCACCGGGAGGAAGCAGAAGGGAACUUUCCGCAAUGGGCGAAAGCCUGACGGAGCAACGCCGCGUGAGUGAUGAAGGUCUUCGGAUCGUAAAACUCUGUUAUUAGGGAAGAAAAUAUGUGUAAGUAAAUGUGCACCUCUUGACGGUACCUAAUCAGAAAGCCACGGCUAACUACGUG
rnacentral:rRNA from 1 species